rnacentral:rRNA from 1 species
GGGAUUGCCUUAGUAACGGCGAGUGAAGCGGCAAAAGCUCAAAUUUGAAAUCUGGUACCUUCGGUGCCCGAGUUGUAAUUUGGAGAGGGCAACUUUGGGGCCGUUCCUUGUCUAUGUUCCUUGGAACAGGACGUCAUAGAGGGUGAGAAUCCCGUGUGGCGAGGAGUGCGGUUCUUUGUAAAGUGCCUUCGAAGAGUCGAGUUGUUUGGGAAUGCAGCUCUAAGUGGGUGGUAAAUUCCAUCUAAAGCUAAAUAUUGGCGAGAGACCGAUAGCGAACAAGUACAGUGAUGGAAAGAUGAAAAGAACUUUGAAAAGAGAGUGAAAAAGUACGUGAAAUUGUUGAAAGGGAAGGGCAUUUGAUCAGACAUGGUGUUUUGUGCCCUCUGCUCCUUGUGGGUAGGGGAAUCUCGCAUUUCACUGGGCCAGCAUCAGUUUUGGUGGCAGGAUAAAUCCAUAGGAAUGUAGCUUGCCUCGGUAAGUAUUAUAGCCUGUGGGAAUACUGCCAGCUGGGACUGAGGACUGCGACGUAAGUCAAGGAUGCUGGCAUAAUGGUUAUAUGCCCGCCCGUCUUGAA